rnacentral:rRNA from 1 species
GAUGAACGCUGGCGGCGUGCCUAAUACAUGCAAGUCGAGCGAACAGAUGAGGAGCUUGCUCCUCUGACGUUAGCGGCGGACGGGUGAGUAACACGUGGAUAACCUACCUAUAAGACUGGGAUAACUUCGGGAAACCGGAGCUAAUACCGGAUAAUAUAUUGAACCGCAUGGUUCAAUAGUGAAAGACGGUUUUGCUGUCACUUAUAGAUGGAUCCGCGCCGCAUUAGCUAGUUGGUAAGGUAACGGCUUACCAAGGCAACGAUGCGUAGCCGACCUGAGAGGGUGAUCGGCCACACUGGACCUGAGACACGGUCCAGACUCCUACGGAGGCAGCAGUAGGGAAUCUUCCGCAAUGGGCGAAAGCCUGACGGAGCAACGCCGCGUGAGUGAUGAAGGUCUUCGGAUCGUAAAACUCUGUUAUUAGGGAAGAACAAAUGUGUAAGUAACUAUGCACGUCUUGACGGUACCUAAUCAGAAAGCCACGGCUAACUACGUG